rnacentral:tRNA from 1 species
GCCGGGGUGGCGGAAUCGGAAGACGCGUACGGUUCAGGACCGUAUGGGCUAUGCCCGUGUGGGUUCAAAUCCCUCCCCCGGCACCA